GACCUCCUGGAGAAGUCGACCUUUGAGAAUAGACUGGAAGGAGCUGAGGGAGCAAGCAAGGUAUUUGGAGAACAGUCUUUCAGACAGAUGGGAUAGCAAUGUUCUGAGGCAAGAGUGCGCUUGAGGAGCAACAGGAAGGUCAACGAUGGAAAUCAUUGGAAGAUUUUGAGCAAAAAUGUUGAUGUCACUUCUAUUUAAACAGAAUUCUCCUUUGGCUGCUAGUUGAAAAGCCAGUCAGGGUGGUGUGGAGGGUGGAGGGCGGAGGACAGAGGGCAGAGGAGUUAGCACAUCUUGGCUAUGAACUAAGGGGAAGUGAUGAGAGCUUGCACAGGGUCAGAACAGUGAGGGGUGAGAAGUGGUCACUUCUGAAUCUAUCUUGAAGAUAAAAUGAAAAGCUCUGGGUUGGAUGUGGAAUGUGAGAGAAGGAAAGCAGACACGGACAGUUCUGGGUUUGGGGGUUGUUUUUUUUAGCUGAGUAACUGAAAGGAUCAUGUGCCAUCAACUGGAGUGGGGAAGAUGUGGGAGGAGCAGAGGGAUUGUGAAGAGCUCAGUACUGGGCAUAUUAUACUUGAGAUAAUAUGUAAUAAGAGUAGCCUGCAUUUAUUGAGCGCUUCCUGUAUGUCAGACGCUGGGUGAAGCAUCUGUUGGGGAAGAGUUAGAAUCCCCCUCUGCCCUUUCCUUUAAGGUUCUUAUGGCUGGCCAAAUAAUUAAAAGACAGGUUAGCAGCAGAAAAUAAUACCAAGUUUAAUAACAUGUAUACAUGGGAGAAACCAGGGAAACUGAGUUUCUUGACAAAAUGACAGAGAGUCUCAUCUUAAAUACCAUAUUUAGCUAAAGACAAAGGAGGAUGUUGGGGGUGGGGAGGGAGACGGAAAUUACAGUAAUCAAGGGUAUACAGAUUUAAGUCCUCUGCUUCUGUACUGAUAAGAGUUUCCACAGAUAAGGCCAUCCCCCCCUUCCCAAUCAGAGAGGGAGAUACCUUUACAAAUGGAGAUUUCCCUUAUAAAUGUCAAUGUUUGUCUGGCAAUUAUUUGCAGGGCCACCUAGAGAAUGUGGCCUGGGAGAGACAGAAUUUUUGAUAAGAUGGGCUUGUUGGUGCGUUUCCUAUUGUAACAUCUAUUGUACAUGCUAUUACAGCCAUCAUAUGAUAGUGGCUCCUUCCUGAAACAGGUCUUCUAUGUUAAAUUCUUUAGGUAGUUUGGGGGAGGUCAAAUGUCCGUUAGAGAAAAUAAUUAAGGUAAAGAGACAUAUUUCAGGGUGGCCAAAUUUUGAUCUCCCACACGUCUUAUAUAUAUUGUUCGUUUAAUCAUUACAACAGCACUAUUAUCUUCUCUAUUUUAGAGACAAGAAAAUUGGUAGUAGUGCCCAUUAACAGCCUUCCAAGAGCUCAUGCAACAAAAAAUAGAUCUUUCCUGUUUAAUUUUUCUGUCCUAACUGCACAACAUCCUGGUUGAUGUUAGCUCAUCACAGUGUCAAUGAAGAUGUGAGUUUUCUCCUGACUUCUACAGAACGGUGAGGGAUUAUCAGCUUUGUUCUGCUCUUGGAGCCUCGAGGACGCCCCAUAAACACGUGAGUGAGUGAGAGAGUGGGCAUGUGGAACCUGUCGGUGCCGGCCACAGGCCUGCAUCUGACAGUGAUCCUUACCAGUGAGGGAGAAGCAAGGAUGCGGUCUCAGGGUGUGCCCGGGGAUGGGGUACGUCCAUCUACUGGGCACAUGGGAGGGGGAGCUGAGCUUGAUAACCCAGGAGAACAGAGUGUUCAAGCUUAGCAACCAAGUGGCCAACUGGGCUUCAUAACUAGAAGCAUCUAAAAUAGAAAACAGGAGUCAGCAUUAGGAGGUGAGCAGCAUGAAGCAAGAUGUGGAUGUGGGGGUUGGGGGGAAUAGUUCAAGGCUAUGUCUGUGAGACCAGGUGAGCUUUGGUGCUCCUUCGUAUGGGAGCCUUCCUAACUGGGAAAGUCUUCAACAGGCCAAUGGUUUGUGCGGAGAAACAGAGAAGCAGAAAGGGCUCUGGUUGUACACCACUUAAGAAGUAUAUUAGUUAUCUUUUGCUGAGUAACAAAUCACCCCAAAACUUAGCGCCUUAAAACAACCAUGAUAAUUUAUUAUCUCACAGUUCAGGAGCAGCUGGGACAUCUCAAAGGCUUCUUCACUCCCACACGUGGCAGCUGAGCUGGAACACUGGAGCCCCUCACCCUCGGGCAUUUCUCUAUGGUGGUCUUCGCUCGUGGUCUUUCCAGCAUGGUGUCCUCAGGAGAGCGACAAUUCUUGCCUGGCAGCUCAGGGGUCCAAAGCUGUGUGGCCCCAGAGAGAGACACCCAGGAGGAAGCUGUGCCCCUUUUCUGAACUAGCCUUGGGGGACAGGCAGCCAUCUCUCCUGCUGCAAUCUGUUAGAAGCAGGUGCCCACGGCUGGCCAUUAUUCACAGACAGGGGAAUUGGACUCCUCCUUUUUCUGGGAGUCUUAUCCAAGAAUUUGCUGGCAUGUUUUAUAUCCACACAGAAGCCUGUGACAUAGUCUGGGGACCUCCACUUAUACCCGUGUCAGUGGAAAUUCUCUUGAUGCCUCCAAUGGUGGGCAAUUCGUGUCGGACAUGUGCCGGGAUGACAUGACUUGCAGACAAGCUUAAUUUUCUGAGACUAAAUACUAUGUCUGUGUGGUCCCCAGGAAAACCCCCAGGCCUGGAAAUAUUUUUCCUGUGACUCAGAAGGGUGUAUAUCAGAGUACCUAAAGUAUACAGGGGGAUACAAAAUAGUGUUAAAAAGACAGGAAACAGUAAGGAGAUUGAGCAGUAGACAGGAAAGCAGUGGCCCUCAGUUUGGUGUACCCUCGAUUUGUGACACAAGAGCAGAAAUCCUAAGUAAUUGUUUUGUUAGAGGGGAGUGGGGAGGCUUGGUGAAUUCAAAUGCACUUCAAGCAUUUGACAGCCUCCUGUCAGGACAUAGAUUGCACCGUGGGAUGUUCGCCUGAUGCUAGCUAAUUAGGAAAACCAUUCUGGGCCUAGCACGAGCGAGCCCAGGGAAUGAUAACCGGGGUCGCUAUAGCUGGUGUGCUGGAGUUCCCCAUUACAAUUCGUAGUCUCCUUACACUUGAUUGAAUUUAUUCCACACACAGACUUUCACUAAAGGCUGCCAUGUCCCAACGUGCUAGGCAGCUGCCAAAACACAGUAGUCCUAACAGCUGGAGUUCUUAUCUGCUGCAGCUACACAGUUAAGGAGGAAUCUGAGUUCCACCGGAAGUGAUCCUUGGACUGUAUGGCAAGAUUUGUAAAUGGAUCCAGGAGCCUCCAUCGCAGGGUUGACUCAGGCUGGCAAGCACUUGCUGACACUAGGGAAUUUUCCACUUUGGGUCCAGCAUUACAGACCAACUUCUCCCAGGCUGGGCAGAUUCCUGUGAGGCCAGACCCCAGGCAAGCAUUUCUAAGGGUGUGAUUGGUGGGAUGUAGUUUGGCAAAUAUUGCAAGUGUUAUGCAAAAGUAAAUUAAUAAGCAAACAAAUAAAAUGUAAAGAAAGAGAGAGCAAAUAAAUUUGGAAAACUGAAUUCAAUAAAAGUAAGUCAAUUUUUGCUUUUUUUUGGUUAAACAGGAUUUCUCAGAGCCUUUACUAUGCCACCAUGCAUUGUGAAUGUCCAAAAGAUAUGUAGCAUUUUCCACAUCUUAUUUGACCAGGGGGACCAUUUUCUCGUGAUCACCUUGGGUGACUCAGUAUUCCAGUGACGACUCUGGGGUGUGCUGUCCUAGACCAGAGCUACUUGAAGUGUGACCCGUGGACCCAUGGGUUGCAACAAGGUGACAGUAUUAACAUCCCAGCCAAGGAGCCCUGCGGUUUGACCUUCGCUGGCCAGGUCAGAGGAAACUGCUGAAUCCUGUGUGUUUACCAGCCAUUCUGUUCAAAACGUGUGAGCAUUUGAAGAGGAAGUAAACCAGGUCAGUCUGAGGUUUCGGGAUGAAGUUGAAGAUAUGAAGGAGAGAAGCCCUUCUUUAACAAAGAAAAUCUUUUCAAUCCUCGCCAAGUGUUUAUUGGUGAGAGGGCCUGAGAGCCGGGACAAAUGGUGAGUGUCCAUGGUAACCAAGGUGACCUUCAUUCCUGAUUGGGUAGCGGGGCCUGGAGAGGGGAGGGCAGCCUGGCAGCCAUGCUUCCAUGUUGAUUUUUGUUUUAAUUACACAAAUGGAGAGAAAACAAAGGAUAGGGGAUAAGAGCCCACGGCAGAGGGGCUGUUGGUUUUUUCUCAGGAAAGAGACUUGGAGAGCCUCCAGGAAGCUCUGCUAAUUAUUACUUAGGGAGGCAAAGGAGGCCUCUUUCCUGUGAGGCUAAUGGAGGGGAGAUUCCAACGGAGAGGGGAUCUACCUCUAAACAGAAUUCAGAAAGAUUUCCAACCCAAGAUCAAGUCAAGUGGCGGUUCAUAAGAGGUAGAGAUUUUAGUGAUUGACGCCACAUUGUUGUCAUAAAUAAAACCUAUGGUCAGUUAAAUAUUGUAUAUAUGUUUAUUUACUUAUAUUUUUUAAAAAGAACUAUUCACCGGCUCAUAGAUUUUCUGAUUCAGCUUUUCUGCAGAAGAGUUUUCCCUCAGACCCCACAGGGCACCUAGUGGCCACUCUGUGCAUUGCAGUGUCCCGAGGACACUGCCAGUUUGUCCCCAGGGGUGUCCCCCUAAAUCCAGCUCUUUUUUAGUGAUAGAAAAGACACAGAAGCUGAUUCCCGCCCAGGCCUGGCUCACCCAGAAUUCUGAUUUUUGUUUUUCUGAUUUCAUCCGCCUAACUUGCCUGAGACUCUGGUCGGUGCCCUCCUAGUCAUUCAGCACACGGGGCUUAGGCCUCUCUCCCGGACAGGUGGCGCCCCCGUGGAGAGCUGGCAAUUUGCGGUGCCCUGAAGUACCCCUCUCACCUCCCAUGAGAGUCGGUGGAAAACGGAGCUGAGGGAGAUAGAGCAAAUUCCCGAAGUGGGGCGUAUGGGCCUGGCUCAACCUGACAAGUCGAGGAGCUGCAAAUGGUGGUUUGUAAAGUGGCCGUGGGGUAAGUGAAUCCCAUUUCCUCUGGGCAGGAGGCCAGGGCCCUCCUCACACUCAGGUAUCUGCUCAGGAAGGAGGAGUUGGUCGUGCCAGCGACUGACCUCAGGCUGGUAGCGCUGAUAUUUCAGGAAGCUAAGCUGGGUCUGUUUCUCUUACAUCCCAUUUGCCUUCUUUUGGUACACCAAGAAAACUGUAUUUUCCUGCUGGUUCAUGUGAAUUAAGUCAUUCUUGCCUCCUUUGACAGAGUCACCUUACAGUGAUAGGAAGCACUUCCCCGUGUUGUGUUCGUGGUUGCUGCUGGCUCAGCCCGACACCUUAUCAGCUGUUAUGUGAGGCUGGAUCAUGAGACUGGAAUGUCCUACCCACGUGGCCGCAAGCCCGCCUGGAGGGCCCGGGCAGGUCCCGUCUCUGGGCCCUUCCUUCUGAGCGCCAGUGGCCCCACAGAAAGGAAGGAAGUUAUCAAAGAUGCUGCCAUCGGUCAUGCCAGAGGGACUCAGGAGCCAACUGAAGAGGCUCCCACUGUGGCUGCAGGUUGGAGACCCAAGGGCUAUUUUAGGGAAUGAACGAUAAUACAGUUGCCCCCCAAAUUUAGUAAUCUUUCAGUCCAUUUGCUUCUGGUUCAUUCCAUGGUCAAAAAAUCGACUCAAAAAUCUCUUUUGGACUUAGUCCUUAAGCCCGAUCUUAGGUCUUCUUUUAUGUAAUGACUUACACUGCCAACACCUUCUUCCUCAUUUUAAU